rnacentral:rRNA from 1 species
GAAUUUUAUAUAAUUAUUUAUGAGUUUUUGUUAAUAAAUUAAUUAAUAUAAAUAAUUAUAAUUUAAUUGGGAGGAUUAUUAAAUUUAAUUAACUUUAAGUAUAAUUAAAAUAUAAAUUAGUAAAUAAAAAUUUAUAGAAGAAUGAUUAAUAAAUUAAAGAAGAAUUAAUUACCUUAGGGAUAACAGCGUAAUAUUUUUGUAGAGUUCUUAUUAAUAAAAAUGAUUGC